UUAUUCUGUUUCUUAAGUAGUGCACAUUAUUAUGGAUAUUUUCAUUUUAUUACAUUGCAAUGAUCCAAAAAGUCUGUACCAAAGCAUACUGCUGAACAAAUUAUUAAAAAUCAUACCAUGUGAUAAAGUAGAAAUUUGCGUGAAUAUUUUCCAAAAAAAAUUUAAUUAAUUUAAUAUUUAUAGUUAUAUAAUGCAGUAUUUGAUUCGGAACAAACACACUGAUGUUAUAACUAAUUUUGGCAAAUUAGUUGCUUGUUGUUAGAAAAAAAUGGUCAGUAAAAAGAUUUGUAUAUAAGCUAGUCCAUGACUUUACUGAAAUGGCACUUCGAAAGGCAACAAUAUUGAAUGUCUAUUGCAGUAAGCACUUAAAAACCUGAAUUCAUCAAAUUCUCUCUUUCAAAAUAGAUUCUCUCCCCGCAUACUAAUGCAAAAAUAAACUACUACACGAUUGUGAGAACAUACAUUCAAAUCCAUGUCUGUAACAUUACGGAGAUGGAAUUACAAUUUUACAGCUUCUUUUAAUUUUAUUGGUGCAAUUAUAGAGCCUCCAAACAGCUGCAAUUUUGGCCUUCUCAUUCGUCGAACGAUUCGAAAAACACGAGCCUUUACAGCAAGAUGAAAACGCAAAAUAUCAAUAUCGUCACCUUCAACAUUCUUCCUUCUAUCAAGUCCUUCUGAUAGACAGAAUAAGACCACAAAAUGGUACGAUGAAACAACUACUGAAGAUGUACCUCAAUACCAAUUAGAUGACAUAGAGGUAAAGGAGCUUUCAAACCACUCGUCAUUUUCAACGAAU